ACAAUCCAAAACCACAUCUUAAUUCCAUAAACCAAUUGUCAUUUAAAAUUACAGUUACAAUUUAAACCAACAUCGCAUCACAUUUCCGGUUUAUAUACUCCAAUUCCAAGCUACAAAAAAAAUUACAGCAUAAAUCAGUCAAUUCCAAUUACAUACAUUCAAUUUCCAUAAAAUCACAAAUUCAAUUCAAAUUAUGACAUUUUAUAAGCCAAUUUCCAAAAUUUCCAAAAUCAUUCAUCAACCAAAUUUCCAAUUACACCAUUCAAUUCCAUCUUACAAGAUUUACAUUCAUAAACUAAACUUUGCAUUCAAUUUUGUCCUAAAUACAACAGAUCAUAUUACGAAAUUCUAACAAACCCCUAAUCAGAUUCACAUAACAUAAUUGAUAACCAACCUGCAACAAACUUAAUAACAAAAGGAUAACAGAACCUUCACUCCUUAACACAUAUACAUAACAACCUCUAACCCUUCAUUCUACCUCUGGACUCUUCACAAUCAUAACUUCCACAACUCUUCACCCUCUUCAACCCUCAACCAUUCUAACUACCAAAAACCCUUAACUGCAACAAUAUAUGAAUCUGGAUUACUCGCGUGUGCUACGAAGCAAAGUUUCGCGUAACUGUGAGUGAAUCUGGAUUACGUGCUCGGUCGUAAGGGAAUCGGUGGACAGUGUCGAUGACGACAGUUGGUGGCGACGGCGUAAAGUUCUUCAGAAGCGUGAAUGAAUUUCCACGUUCAUAUGAGGCCGGUUUCGGGUUACCUGGGUCUUCUUGGACCUGGUUCGGGUGUAUGAGUGACUUGGGCUCAGGCCCAGCCCAAGUAAAUUCAGGCUAUACGCCUCUCCCUAUGUUCUAAACCCCCUAAUUCUUUUUUAAUCCCUUGAUUAAUUCUUAAUCCAUUUCAGUUUCAAUUUCAAUUUUUGUAUUAAUCAGGCUGAUUAGGAUUGUUGAUCUUGCUAGAGUUAGAUAUUUUCUUGACUUUUGACUUUAGAUAUUAAUUCUUCUUGUUAAUAUUUGAUUAGUUAGAUUAAGAUUCAAUUUGAAUAAUUAGGUGCAAUUAAGCUUAAUCAAUUUUUAGAUUAGAUUUAAUUUUUUAAUUUUCCAUAAUUAAUUCUUAUUUGAUUAACCUUGACAUGAUUAGAUAAUUAGUCAUUAGGUUUAAUUCUUUUCGUUGAUUUUGCUUUGAUUAAUAUGGUUAAUGGUUGAUUUUACCACGAUUCUCCCAUUUGGUUAAUUUCCAUUCAAUGUGAUUUGUAUGAUCAUGUCCAUUAGGUUCGAUUCUUGAAUUUGGAUUGUUAAUUUUCCAUUCGAUCGAUUGUGAUUCUAAUUCAUAUUUAGGUAGAUAUAACUUUUAGAAUUGAUGGUCACAUUAAUUGUCCAUUUAAUCGAUUUCGUGGUUUAUGAUCAUAUUGUAAAUUGAAAAUCCCAUUUCAAUUUAGGUUAUGAAUACUUUGUAUGCUUAGUUUCAUUUGUCAUGAUCAUAGGAUAGAUUUUUGAUUAUUUUUCAUUGAUUAAUCCAUGACCUUUUGAAUCGAUUAUAACCAUUGUACGUACUUACAUCUUGUUGCAUUAUUCUCAUUCAUUCGACUUUAUCUCAUGCUAACUCGUUUGUUGUUUUGUGUCCCCAUGUUGACUUUGAGAUGCAAGUUCACUCUUACCUAGCCAUGCUCCUAACCAUUUCAUUUUCAUUCAAUAGCUUUGUAUUUUUUUAAGUACCAUGUCACGUGUAUGCCUUAGGCAUGGUAUUUAGUACAUAGUUUAGUAGUUCGUAACUUGUAUUUUCCUUUCAUCCCAUGUAUGUUGUAUUGUAUGGAUCCCCCCAUUGUGGGUUAAAUGUUCCCCCUCCCCUUAGUCAUGUUAUGACUUAGAUUUAUUGUUUUCUAGAUAGUCCACUAUGCAUGUUAAUAACCAAGAUAAAAUACAAAACGAUAAACAAAGCAUUUCAAAAGAAACAAAAGAGACUUGAUUCAACGUUAAGUUGUUUUCCAAAUAAAAC
rnacentral:lncRNA from 1 species